GUGAUCCUGGAGACCCGGGAUCAAGUCCCAUGUCGGGCUCCCUGCAUGGAGUAUGCUUCUCCCUCUGCCUGUGUCUCUGCCUCUCCCUCUCUCUCUCUCUCUCUCUCUCUCUCUCUCUCUGUCUGUCAUGAAUAAAUAAACAAAAUCUUUAAAAAAAAAUAAAUUCCCCUUCCCAAAAGAUAAACUGUCAAGUUCAUUAGACUGGACAUUGCUAGGACUUCAUCAAUAGUAUCUUCACUGGCCUUCUCCAUUGCACAGGUGUGUCUAUCUCAUUGAUUGGUUGUCCAUCAAAUUUGAAUCUAAUCUGUCUCAUUGACAGGUUUUGUCUCUCACAAUAUGCGUUCAUCAGUUUGUUGAGAGGUGUUUGUCAUUUCUUUUGAGCUGAAUCACAGUUCUAUUAUAUUAUAGAAUUAUAACACAAAAAUGUUAAUUGGAAGUGACCUUUCAGUCAUUUUUUCUAACCUCCUACCUGGUAGAGAAUUCUCCUCUACAGUAUCCACAUCUAGAGGUCAUUCAGUAGUAGAUCCUUAGAUACUUCUGAUAACAGAGAGCUCACUAACUUGUGAAAUAGGCUAUUUCAAUUAUAUUCAGCUCUAUUUCUUAGUAAAUUCUUCUUUAUAUUGAACCAGGACUCCUUGAAAUUUUCAUUUCAGCCUAGGUGCCUAUUCUGAUGAUCCCAGAAUAAGAAUAGGCUUACUGUUUUUUCCAGAUGGCCUGCUGCUUUGGAAUUAAUAUAGCAGUUCUUUGUCUUCUGAUCCUAUAUCCAGAUUUCCCUUGGAAAAAAUUUCAUCAACACCUAAUUUCAGCACCACUUCCUCAACUCUGAACUUCGGCCGAAUUUGAAUUCUCCCUCUGGUUACUCCAUCAUUGCAUUUUGAUCAUAAGAGAAGAAGCUACUAAGGCCAUCUUAGAAAUGUGAAGGUGAGACCUCAUGGGAUCAUGAAAUGAAGAUUAUUUGAGGUCUCUGGAAACCUAGAGAUGUCUUGGGAUAUGUUUUCUAAAGUUUGAUUUAAAAAUCACAUAAAUAAGAUCAUAUGAUCUGCAAAAGAUAUGGUUUUACUUCUUCCUUUCCAAUCUGUAUGCCUUUUCUCCUAUUUUUCUUGCCUAGUUGAACUGGCUAGAAUCUCC
rnacentral:lncRNA from 1 species